CACCAGUUAGCCAAGUUAUGCAAAGGAAGAGUUCUUGAAAGUGUUAACUCCAGUGAACAUGCAAACAAGAAAGUGAAACAGCCUUACUGCUGAGAUGGAGAAAGUCUGAGUGGUCUAUAUAGAUUAAACAAGCCACAACAUUCCCUUAAGCCAAAGCCUAAUUAAUUCUUCAAUUCUUUCUUCGAAGACUGAGAGGUGAGGAUGCUACAGAAGAAAAGCUGGAAGCAAGCAGAGGUUGGUUCAUGAAACUAUCCCCAUUAACGUCAGAGUGCAAGGGACAACAACAGCAGGAAGUUGUCCAGAUGAUCUAGCUAAGAUCACUGAAGGCGACUACACUAAACAACUGAGUUUGUGAAGAUGAAAUGGUCUUCUAUUAGAAGAGAUGUCAUCUAGGACUUCAUAGCUGGGGAGAAGAAGUUCAAUGCCAGCGAGUGUAGUUGGUGCCUUUAAGUUGAAGUCAGAGUUUAUUUACCAGUCCAAAAAUCUUAAGGCCCUUAAGAAUUAUGUUAAAUCUACUCUGCCUAUGCUCUAGAAGUGGAAUAACAAAGCCUAGAUGACAGCAUAUCUGUUUAUAGCAUGGUUUAUUGAAUAUUUAAGCCUAUGGUUGAGACCUGCUCAAAUUUCUUUCCAAAUAUUACUGCCCAUUACAAUGUUACCUGGUCACCUAAGAGUUCUGA
rnacentral:lncRNA from 1 species